UUCCGGAUUCUGGCGCGGCCUUUGUCUCACUUCAGCCACAGCGCGGGGUUGGGGCUUCAUUGCCUUGUGUCCUCUGCUCCGGGAGACUUCGGUGAUUCUGCCACUCACUCCGUCGCUCUGUGACCUGCUGGCAUUGAAUGAUUUAUAGCUAAGACUCCAGGACACCCCUGAAGCCGAGAAAUGGAACUCUUAACAUUCAGGGAUGUGGCCAUAGAAUUCUCUCCAGAAGAGUGGAAAUGCCUGGACCCUGCCCAACAGAAUUUAUAUAGAGAUGUGAUGUUGGAGAACUACAGAAACCUGGUCUCCCUGGCUGUGUAUUCUUAUUACAACCAAGGCAUUUUACCAGAGCAAGGCAUAGAAGAUUCAUUCAAAAAAGCAACACUGGGAAGAUAUGGGAGCUGUGGCCUUGAAAAUAUAUGCUUAUGGAAAAACUGGGAAAGUAUAGGUGAAGGUGAAGGACAAAAAGAAUGUUAUAAUCUAUGUAGCCAAUAUUUGACAACUAGUCAUAACAAACAUUUAACUGUGAAAGGAGACAAAGAAUAUAGAAUAUUUCAGAAGAAGCCUCAGUUUCUGUCAGCUGCUCCUACAGAACCAUGUAUUCCUAUGAAUAACUAUCAACAUCAAUUUUCGAAAUCUGUCUUUUGUAAUAAAAAUCAGAUAAAUUUUAACCAUGACUCAAAUAUUAGUAAACAUCAUAGUACUCAUUUUCUAGAAAACUAUUACAAUUGUAAUGAAUGUGAGAAAGUAUUUUACCAAUCCUCAAAGCUUAUUUUCCCUGAAAAUAUCCAUAUUCAAGAAAAGCCUUACAAGUCUAAUGAAUGUGGUGAAACUUCUGACCCAUUCUCAAAACUUACUCAACAUCAAAGAAUUUAUAUUGGAGAGAGCUCACAAAGAUGUAAUAAAAAAUGUAUAAUAGUCUUUAGUCAAUCACAUCUAAAGGGACAUAAGAUAAUUAACACUGGAGAGAAAUCAGUGAAAUAUAAAGAACGUGGCAAAGCUUUUACCAGGGGCUUACAUCUUGGACAUCAGAAAAUUCAUACUGGAGAGAAACCUUACAAAUGUAAAAAAUGUGACAAAGCCUUUAACAAGAGUUCACACCUUGCUCAACAUCAGAGAAUCCAUACUGGAGAGAAGCCUUUCAAGUGUAAGGAAUGUGGCAAAGCUUUUAACAGAGGCUCAUACCUUACUCAACAUCAGAGAAUCCAUACUGGAGAGAGAGCUUUCAAAUGUGAAGAAUGUGGCAAAGCCUUUAACAGGGGGUCAUACCUUACUCAACACCAGAGAAUCCAUACCGGAGAGAAACCUUUCAGAUGUAAGGAAUGUGGCAAAGCCUUUAAUAGAAGCUCAUACGUUACUCAGCAUCAGAGAAUGCAUACUGGAGAGAAACCUUUCAAGUGUAAGGAAUGUGGCAAAGCUUUUAACAGAGCUUCACACCUUACUCAACAUCAGAGAAUCCAUACUGGAGAGAAACACUUCAAAUGUAAAGAAUGUGGCAAAGCCUUUAACAGGGGCUCACACCUUACUCGACAUCAAAGAAUCCAUACUGGAGAGAAGUCUUUCAAAUGUAAAGAAUGUGGCAAAGCUUUUAUCUGGGGCUCACACCUUACUCAACAUCAGAGAAUCCAUACUGGAGAGAAAUUCUUCAAAUGUAAAGAAUGUGGCAAAGCUUUUACCAGGAGCUCACACCUUACUCAACAUCAGAGAAUUCAUACUGGAGAGAAACCUUUCAAAUGUAAAGAAUGUGGCAAAGCUUUUAACAGACGCUCAACCCUUACUCAACAUCAAAUAAUUCAUACCAGGUAGAAACCCUGCAAGUAUAAAGAAUAUGCUAAAACCCUAAACUGGUGCUCACACCUUACUCAACAUUAGAAAAUCAAUACUGGAUAGAAAUCCCAUAUGUGUAAUGAUUUUUGAAACAUCAAAAUGAAGUCUAAGUAAAAAUCAGAAGUGUCACUUUAGAAAGAACUAAGGUGCUAGCACUUCUGUAAAUUACUCUGAAUCAGUGUGUUUAUUAUAACAAAUAAUUCAAACUCAAUUAGAUAAUUAAAUUGUAUGUUUAAAAAGAGUGACGACAUUGAUGGAGAGGCAUAAUUAUAUUCAAUGUUCAUUUAUUUUUGUAAUCACAGUAUUCAUGAUUGAGAAAGUAUUAUUGAUGUAAUUAAAUUCAAAUUAACCUUUUUUUUCCCCACUGUGGUUGAUUAUUGCUGUCUCUGACAUGAGAGUCCCUUCUGCGUUAGGUAGGCAUCAUUCACAUGUCUCAUGACAUCAUUCACAAGUUUCCCAUGGAAGACUAAGAGCAUUGGCAUAUAGGAUGUAUGAUGAAAUCUAAAUGGAGUUGCUCUUUUUGUUUGACUUACAACAGUGAAUAUAAGUCAUAUAUGAGUUAGGUGUUCAGAAUAUUAUUGUUCUGCAUUAAAGUGUGAGACAGAAACACUCUGAGUUUUAGAUAUGAAUAGUUUUACCAACUAUCCAUUAAAAAGUCUUGCUAGUCCAUUAAUAUUCUAAUGUAUCUUCAUAGCAGCAAGUUAGAAGUCCUGAAUAUUACUGUGAUAACAAUAAAGAAAUCAUCUAUUGCUUGCCUUAUUUAUUCAACUUUUUUUAUAAUUAGAAUAAUAACAGUUCUACUUCAAAAUGUCAGAGAAAACUGAAUCUUUCCAAAGUUGCUGGACAUUGUAAGGGUGUGUGGAACCCUAUUUAAUUUAGCCUGAGGGAUGGAGACUUGUAAUGAGAAAAUAAUUUACAACAUAUAGAGAAUAAAUUAUUAUUAUUUUAAAAAGUAAUCUACAUUUUGUAUCCUUACCAUUUCCUUUGAUAGUUUAAAAUUGUAAUUCUCUAAAUAAGAGAUAUAUUCAUAAAUGUGACUUGUAAAUGUUGAAAUUUAUAUGUUUGCUUUUUCUGCAUUCAGUAAGGGUAGUAGUUUCCAGCAUCUGUGCCUCUUUAAAGUGAAAGACAGGGGCAGGCGUAGUGGCUAAUGCCUGUAAUCCCAGCACUUCGGGAGGCCCAGGUGGGCGGAUCACCUGAGGUCAGGAGUUCGAGACUAGCCUAGCCAACUUAGUAAAACCCUGUCUCUACCAAAAAUACAAAAAAUUAGCUGGGUGUGGUGGUGGGCUCCUGUAAUCCCAGCUACUUGGGAGGCUGAGACAGGAAAAUCACUUAAACCUGAGAGGUGGAGGUUGCAGUGAGCCAAGAUCAUGUCACUGCACUGCAGCCUGGGCAGCAGAGUGAGACUCCAUCUCUAAAUAAAUAAAUUCAGCCUGGGCAACAGGUGAGACUCCAUCUCUAAAUAAAUAAAUAAAUGAAUGAGUGAAUGAUAGGAUGGAAUUAAAAUAGUUUGAAAACACAAAUUAACAAAAUGGUGUUGACAAAGAUUGUUCAUUUGUGGUCUACCAGGGCAUAAAAUUCUCAAAAAACAUAAUCAGUAGGAAACCUCUUUAUUCCUGAAUAUUAGAGAAUAUUAUAUGUCUUAAAAUUAUUCAUGUUGAAAAGCUCUGCCUUUCAUGCAUUUAGGAGAAAAAGUCAGAGGGCAGAAGGUUUAUGUAGACUCUGGUCUGUGCCUGAUUUGGGGAAUGGAAAGACUCGACAGAAGAGGCCAGGCCAGCCAAGCAGGGCUCUGUUGCGUGCAAGAUUAACUGCUGGUUUGUCUUUGCAGAGCUCCACGCAGAACAUCAUCAAAGAACUGAUGGACACUUCAUCUCCCUGGGUGAGGGGCAGGUGUACCAUGCUGUCAUGGCCAUUCCUGCCUCGAUUCGGGUGUGGGUGUAGAGAUGGUCUCUAUAACCAGGGCCCAGACAUGGCUGAGAAGGCCUUCUGCCAGGACUCCACCUUGAUGACUCACAGGACUUUGUGCCUUGGCUUUCCCUAUUGAGUGACCCACAGUUUUAAUCCAAGGGACCCUGAGUCUGUUUCCUUCCUUCAGCCCCACCAUUUCACCCCAGCACUGUUCAGGUGUAAAAUCGGCUUUCACAUAUUUGUAAGAAUAUCUGGGAAAAUUAUUUAUAUUUUACUUUCACUUCAUGUUAUGACCAUGAGUGUUUUUGCAUUUUGCUAGGGCUCAUUGUCUUAAUUGGCCCUCCUUUAUCCCUCUGUGUGCGGAAAUAAAUCAGCCCUAAAUCUGGAUGAGACCUGCAGGUGGACUCCAUCAGUGCAGGCGUGGUGGGGCAGCAGGAGGAGCCCGUGGUGCCCACCUUCCAGAGCUGCCACCUCUUUUACCUCCUCAUCUUCCUUCCUGUGCACCUAGAGAGAGUUCACCCCCACCCAACAGCUCCUAGACCUGCUGCCCAAAAGGAUCUCCAGUCUUCUUUAAAUUUGGAGAAAUUGCCCAUGAAGGAGCCUACUGCUGUGUCCAGCAUGUGACGGGGGAGGAACUCCAGCCCAGGAAGGGGCUCCCCUGGACCCUCAGAUGGAGUCGAAUGGAAAAGCGAGAUUGUCUUUGACCAUUGGCUAUGGACAUUGUCAGGGAUGGUGCAGCCCGAAUGAGAAUGUCUGCGGUAUUUCCCGAAAUAAGUAUCCCUCAAGGAUGAUACUGUGGACCUCACUCAGGAAGAAUGUGUCCUUCAGAGAAAGCUGCACAGAGAUGUGAUGCUGGAGAAGCAGUCAUCUGGUUACUUUGGCAUGAAUGAGAGAUCCUUUUGCUUCACAUCUUUGCCAGCAUUUGGGUGUUGUCAGUGUUCUAGAUUUUGGCCAUUAUAGUACAUGACUUCAGGCUCCUAUGUGCAGAAGUCCUCAACCCCCAGGCUGCAGACCAGUACCUGUCCAUGGCCUGUUAGGAAACUGGCCGCACAGCAGGAGGUGAAAUGAUUAUUGCAGUUUUGAGGGGAGAUGAUGUCACAAGAUCUCGAACCCAUAUCUCAGAACCGCCUGCCUCCUCCCACACACUCUGGCUGUCCUGAGCAUCACUUCAAGCCCACCAGCCCUGCAGCAAAAAAAAUCAAACGAGUAGUUCAGAAGGCAUAGUCUGCAAGGGAAGGAAGUGUAUUGGGAGGUACAGUAAGUACUCCUGUCUGGAGAAGGUCUUCUUUGGGGCUAGAAACUGAGCCAGUGCCAAAGCCAUGCAAGAAGGAGGAAAUAAUCAGUGAGCCACGGGCUGAACUUGUGGAGAAGAAAUGGAGGGCAAGGUCACAAACCAGUCCCUAACUGCUUCUAAUUUAAUGUAAUCCUCACUGUUUGUCAUUAUUGCUUUUGAUGGCCAUGAAAUCUGUUUUUUCCCAGUUCUCUAGUAUAAUUUGGAAUUAAUUUCCCAGCUGCUUUAUUUUUUUUCUAGAAGAGUCGGGGACAUUUUCAGGAUUAGUAGAGGUGUUUCUACAACACCUUCAUGCCUUCGAUAAUGUGUAAGAAUUCACCAAUUGAAUUACCUUAUUCUGUUCAGAAGUAGUAACUAUAGAGUUUAACCACUCUGGACAUAUUAUAUACUUAAUGGAGACCAUAGCUGUGUGGUGACUGAAAACAUGCAUUGUCUACUCCUUAUGGUGAGACUGCUUUCCUUCGUGAAGUCAGUAAAGAAGGGUAACUUUUCUGUAGAUUUUUGUAUUUUUAAAAAAGGUCAAGAUCUUCGGCAGUUUUCUGAAUUGAAUUGUUUGUGAUAUUUGCUCUGUUUUUAAAAUGUUCUAAGGCCAUUACCAGGUUCAGUGCUUAUCUUAGUACAAUUUAAAUUGAUUCCGUGAAUAAUUUUUCCUGCCUCCAGUUUCCCUUUUACAUAGUGGGCUCAUGUUUUAAUAUGUUAAACAAUUCUGACAUUGAAAUAAUUUUAUUUUAUAUUUUUGCAUUCACAAAUAGUAAUUUUCUCCAUAUAUUAAUGGUAAUGUAGUUUCUCCUCUGCAAUAUUUUAUUGCCUACUCAUGUUUUAUGUCCCCUGGAUUACAGCACUGUCAUUCCACUGUGCCCUAUUCCUUGGUUAUGAUGAAAAGACUCUUUUAAUUCCAGUAUGAAAUCAUUUCUGCAUUCCAUAAAUUUCAUUUGGCAUCUGUGGAAUUAAGGCAUCUUCAUUGUAUUUGGAUCUCUGAAUCAUAAGUGAUAUUUGCCUAUACAUUAAGCAAUGAUAUUUAAAUAAGAGAUUACCACAAUCAUAUUUUAUAAAUAUACAACCAUUUUUAAAAACCUGACAAAAUCUACAAAAAAAGAAAAUGAAAUAUAUGUGGAGUUUUAGAAAAGACUGACUAGGUCCAAGGUUGAGGCACAUAGUGGUUAAGCACAUUGUCAGCUCCGGACUCUGCCUCUUACAAGGAAGGAGGGGAUUUAGAUGUUAUUUAGCUGUUAUUUAGCCUUUCUACCCCUAAGUUCCCCUCACCUGUAAAAAAAUAAUAAUAAUAAAGUGCUUACUUUGUAGAAUCAUUGUAAAUGUUCUAUGUAAAAUAUGAAUAUAGCACUCACAGUAAAGAUGUGUGUGUGUGGUGUGUGGUGUGUAGUUCAGCAAUAGAAAAUGGAAUUUAAUAAGAAGGUUAUGAGUUGAAAACAAUGGUGUGUGGACAAUAUUGAAUUUCAGUUGCCAAAAUAAAAUAGACCUCAUGUUUCCAUUCAGGAUCCUCUAACUCUGAAUAUGAAUAGAAGUAUCAGUCACUGGAAAAGAACAAAUGUCCUCUAGGGAUGUGGCAAUAGGAAUAAUCUUAUCAUAGACCAUAAUUGUAUUCCUGAUGAAAAUAUUUUUUCUUUAGCAUUGUAUUUCUCUUUAUUUCACCAAAUGCACAUUAAGGUCUACAGAUCUGAUUCUCAAACACCUGGCUGUAGCCACCUCCUUUGUGAUACUUUAUAAAGGAGUCCCACAGAGAAUGCCUGCUUUUGGGUUGAAACAUUUUCUCAAUAAUAAUUAGGUACAAACUUGUUUUCUAUGUUCACAAAGUGGGCAGGGCUGUGUGCAUUGGCACCACUUGCCUUUUGAAUAUCUUCCAGGCCAUCACAGUCAGCCCCAUGUACUCCUGCUGGGCAGACCUGAAACUACAAGCUCCCAAAUAGAGUGGGUGCUCCAACAUCCUGUGCUGGAUUGUGAUUUGCUGGUAACCGCAUGUGACUGGCAAGUGGAAUGGCGAAAACAACACAAAGAAGGAUUUGGUUACUGUUCUGCAGUAGUUAAUAACUGAUAUGGUUUGGCUAUGUCCCCACUCAAACCUCAUCUUGAAUUCCUAUCUGUUGUAGGAGGAACUUGGUGGGAGGUGAUUGAAUUAUGGGGGCAGGUCUUUUCUGUAUUGUUCUCGGGAUAGUGAAUGAGUCUCAUGAGACCUGAUGGUUUUAAAAACAGUAGUUUCCCUGUACAAGCUCUCUCUUUGCCUGCUCCCAUCCAUGUAAGACCUGACUUGCUCCUGCUUACCUUCCGCCAUGAUUGUGAGGCCUCCCCAGCCAUGUGGAACUGAAAGUUUGUUAAACCUUUUUUUCUUCCCAGUCUUGGGUAUGUCUUUAUCAGCAAUGUGAAAAAAAAUGGACUAAUACAGCAAAGUGGUAUCAGUAGAGUGGGGUGCUGCUGAAAAGAUACCCAAAAAUGUGGAAGCGACUUUGGAACUGGGUAACAGGGAAAGGUUGGAAUACUUGAGAUGGCUCAAAAGAAGAAAGGAAAAUGGGGGAAAGUUUGGAACUUCUAGGGACUUGUUGAAUGGUUUUACCCAAAAUGCUGAUAGCAAUGUGGACAAUAAAGUCCAGGCUAAGGUGGUCUCAGAUGGAGAUGAGGAACUUGUUGGAAACUGGAGCAAAGGUGACUCUCGUUAUGUUUUAGCAAAGAGACUGAUGGUAUUUUGCCCCUGCCCUAGAGAUUUGUGGAACUUUGAACUUGAGAGAGAUGAUUUGGUAUCUGGCAGAAGAAAUUUCUAAGCAGCAAAGCAUUCAAGAGGUGACUUGGGUGCUGUUAAAGGCAUUCAUUUUUUAAAUCAAUACCUCCUGAAGUCCUCCUGAGAGCGCCAGACACGCAUUCGGGCCGCAUGGGGCAGAAAAGGAGGGCUCCAUCACUCCCUGCUGGCCAUCAGGGUGCAGUGCAGGACACUCGGAGCUCAAUACUUAGUUGUUUCCCAGUGCCCCCUGCUAGACCUCCUACUGAAUCCUGAAAUUCUCAAUUUCUUGAUCUGUCUGCUUCUUUGGCUGAACAUGCGUCAAAUCCACGGGAGCAUCACAAAAGGAUUCUUUCUCAGUCAUGCCUGUGUAAUAGGACCUUCUUCCAGUUUCUUUCAAAAAUUGAAAAAAACAUCUGAAUGAUGCAGUCUACCUCAGACUCUGCUGCAGAGCUUCAUCCUGCAGGACACAGAUGACUACAGGGCUGUUUGAGAUGGAAUCUUCCUUUCUAAAUCUUCUAGGUUUGAUCACAGUCACAAAUGAGCAGAGCAGAUGAAAGUGAAAAAUCUUCUGGCUUGUCCCUAUUUGGGGAGAGCUCUCCAGAACUAUUUUCAAGAAAUUAGUAACUAUUCGAGGGAGUGAAAUACAGCUGGUUUGCCUUCGAGAAAGGAAAGUGAAGUGUGCUUUUGUUUCCUCUCAUUUAACAGUUGCAAAAGGCAAAUUAGAAAAUAGGAAUACUCAUGACACUUUCUUAUAAAUACUGCUAAACAAAAUAAUCUGCAUUCAUAUUUUUGUACUGGUAAAAUAUCUGAAAGCAAAAUCAUGGGAAGAUAUUUAAGUAUAUUAUACAUCAUGAAUUUCAAAAACAUUAGAGUGAAGAUCAUGAUACAGGUUUCUUAUAUGAGUAACUGUAUAGUUUAUAUUUUCCUUCACCUUUUGAAAUACUCAGGAAAUGUUUGUUGUACACAGAAUUUGAAUAAAAAUUGUCCAGGCCAGGUGCAGUGGCUCACGCCUAUAAUCCCAGCACUUUGGGAGGCCAAGGCAGGCAGAUCACCUGAGGUCAGAAGUUCAAGACCAGCCUGACCAAUAUGGUGAAACCUUGCCUCUACUAAAAAUGCAAACAUUAGCUGGGCAUGAUGGCAAGUGCCCGUAGUCCCAGCUACUUGAGAGGCUGAGAUAGGAGAAUUGCUUGAACCCAGGAGGCGGAGGUUGCAGUGAGCCGAGAUUGUGCCACUGCACUCCAGCCUGGGCGACAGAGUGAGACUCCAUCUCAAAAUAAAUAAAUAAAUAAAUAAAAAUAAAAAUAAAAAUUUCCAUGCAAACUUUUCUUCAAUAUAUUUUUGUUACAGUUAACGUAAAAUUAGCAGUUGUAAUAGACAAACCUGAAUUUAUCAGCAGUUUGAUCAUCAUGUAAUAUUUAUCAUUGCUGGCAUAUACCACCUCAACACAGGCUUUCAAAUGUCAUGUGACUCUGCUUGUGGAUUUUCCUCCAAAUAUGGAUUUAGGGACCCCCAUACCUUCUAUUGGUGUAUUUCUCAUUGCUAACCUGUGUCUUCAAAUCCGGCUAUGGUGCUUGGGAAAAUUUCAUGCAGUUGUAUGGCAAAAAAUAUUUGGGACUUCACAGAGGAUGUUUUCACAGGUCAGGCCUGUACCAGGUAAAUGUCGUUUCCACCCACUCAGCUAGGAUGCUUGUAUGGCCAGACCUCAGAACAAAAAGCCUGGGGAAGGGAGUCUUGAACUGUGAGACCAGCGGGAAUACAAGAUUGGUCUGGUGAAUAAGACCACUGUUUUUCUUACACUAUGUGAAAAAAAUGCUGUUAAUGUGAGCAACAGCCAGUUUUCCUGCUUUCAUACAUUUAUGCAAGAAAAUGUGACUUAAAAUCUAAUUCCACAGAUUAAACCUAGAGAAUAUAUUUGAGGGAAGAGGGCAAAAAGGUCAAUCAAUAAGGCUCACACUGUUGACCAUCUGAAAGGGGAUUCCCAUUGAAUCCCAAAAGCACAGAGUAGAGUUGAAAUAUUCCCUAGACAAGUGUUGUCAAAAAAAAUAUGAAAGUACAUUACAUAUGUAGGAAUAUUUAGAUAUGAACUGACACUAGUGCCAACACUCAGAGGCCCUCACCACGAGAGGCCCUCAAGCAUCCAGGAUAGCCUACUGUUCUUCCCUCAGCAUAACCAUAAUGUAACAAGCUAACCUUUUCACAAAGGGUGGCUAUGAUUAUAAACCGAGUAUCAGUAAUGAGUUAACACAGGCAACGAUAAUAUCCUGCUACUGUAACUUAAAAACGUGUUUUUAUGUCCAUCAAAAUCAAGUAGUGAUUGUGCAUAAAAUUUUGUAAUAUUUAAGGGUUAGGUAUCCAUCAAACAUGUUACAGACCAGGCAGUUACUCCAGAAAUACCUUUAAAAGGAGAGAAUUAUUGCAAACCACAUAAGAUAUUUAGUCUGCAUUAGGAAAUGAAAAUGCAACAAACAUUCUGCAAUGUGGAAUGAACAAAUAUGAUUCCUUAAAAUGCAUAAAACUCAGUAAGGACAGAAAACCACGCUGUUUCUCCACUGUACUGUAAACACAGUGGUCAACAAAACCACAUUAACAUUUUGCCAUGCCUUUGUCAAUAACUUUUCUUGGCAGCCUCAGAUACAGCCUUCACUUGCAAGACAAGUUGAAAGGGUCUUGUAACAUCUUUCUCUUUUGAAAACCAGUUUAUCAAAAUGAAAACCUUUUAUUGUUGAUUUCACCAUAAAGUUAGUAGAAUCUCAGAAAAGAUACAGAUAAUGCAUAUGUGUCUGAGAAAGAGCUCCUGUAAAGCCCAACACCAAAUACAGGUCAUAUCACAGAAGUAUUGGUGUCCUGCAUUUUUCUCUUGUAAUUAUACCUGCGUUUAUUACUCUGGGGAGAUUCUCAGGACCAGCAUUGCUGCAUUUUGCUUUUCUAUAUUUUAAUUGUUAAUAGAUAUUGUUUGGUUGCCAACCCCUAAAUGUGGAACACUUUAUAAUCGUAAUAUGCAAGGUAUGAGAACACAGUACUUCUUUCAUCAUCUGUGAUGUAUGAUUAUUCACCCUAAUUUUCUUGAGUCUGAGCAGUUUAAUGGAGGUAUAUUUUUAUUAGUUCACUAUUGUUUAAAUUUCUUGUCUUUUCAUGCUAAAAGGAAAGUUGAUAUUUAUCUAUAUCUAUGUCUGUAUAUGCAUGUAUAUCUAUAGAAGUAGAUCCAUUUGUUUGAACAACCCUCUGUAAUUAAUUGUGAUGAAUUAUGCGUGUUUUAGAAAGUAUUUUGUACACAUAUUUUUAAUAAAAAUUUUCCCCCCGAAUAUUUAACCAAUAUGACAUUAAAAGAGUCAGGAAUUUGUCUCUCACUUUA